GACGAACGCUGGCGGCGCGCCUAACACAUGCAAGUCGAACGAGCGAGAGAGAGCUUGCUUUCUCGAGCGAGUGGCGAACGGGUGAGUAACGCGUGAGGAACCUGCCUCAAAGAGGGGGACAACAGUUGGAAACGACUGCUAAUACCGCAUAAGCCCACAGGUCGGCAUCGACCAGAGGGAAAAGGAUUUAUUCGCUUCAGGAUGGACUCGCGUCCAAUUAGCUAGUUGGUGAGGUAACGGCCCACCAAGGCGACGAUUGGUAGCCGGACUGAGAGGUUGAACGGCCACAUUGGGACUGAGACACGGCCCAG
rnacentral:rRNA from 1 species